GAUGAACGCUAGCGACAGGCCUAACACAUGCAAGUCGAGGGGCAUCGGGGCGAGGAGCAAUCCUUGCCGCCGGCGACCGGCGCACGGGUGAGUAACGCGUAUGCGACCUGCCCGUUGCAGGGGGAUAAUCGGGAGAAAUCCCGUCUAAUACCGCGUAAUGCCGCGGGGCUGCAUGGCCCUGCGGCCAAAGGGAGCGAUUCCGGCAACGGAUGGGCAUGCGUGACAUUAGCUAGUUGGCGGGGCAACGGCCCACCAAGGCGACGAUGUCUAGGGGUUCUGAGAGGAAGGUCCCCCACACUGGUACUGAGACACGGACCAGACUCCUACGGGAGGCAGCAGUGAGGAAUAUUGGUCAAUGGGCGCGAGCCUGAACCAGCCAAGUCGCGUGAGGGAUGACGGCCCUACGGGUUGUAAACCUCUUUUGUCGGGGAGCAAAUUCCGUUACGUGUAACGGAGUCGAGAGUACCCGAAGAAAGAGCAUCGGCUAACUCCGUGCCAGCAGCCGCGGUAAUACGGAGGAUGCGAGCGUUAUCCGGAUUUAUUGGGUUUAAAGGGUGCGUAGGCGGACUGUCAAGUCAGCGGUAAAAUACGGGGGCUCAACCUCCGCCCGCCGUUGAAACUGACGGUCUUGAGUGGGCGAGAAGUAUGCGGAAUGCGUGGUGUAGCGGUGAAAUGCAUAGAUAUCACGCAGAACUCCGAUUGCGAAGGCAGCAUACCGGCGCCCAACUGACGCUGAAGCACGAAAGCGUGGGUAUCGAACAGGAUUAGAUACCCUGGUAGUCCACGCAGUAAACGAUGAAUACUAGCUGUCCGGGGCGAAUGAGCCCUGGGUGGCACAGCGAAAGCGUUAAGUAUUCCACCUGGGGAGUACGCCGGCAACGGUGAAACUCAAAGGAAUUGACGGGGGCCCGCACAAGCGGAGGAACAUGUGGUUUAAUUCGAUGAUACGCGAGGAACCUUACCCGGGCUCAAACGACACAGGAACGUACCUGAAAGGGUUCGGCUCUACGGAGCCUGUGUCGAGGUGCUGCAUGGUUGUCGUCAGCUCGUGCCGUGAGGUGUCGGCUUAAGUGCCAUAACGAGCGCAACCCCCAUCGACAGUUGCUAACAGGUCAGGCUGAGGACUCUGUCGAGACUGCCGGCGCAAGCUGCGAGGAAGGCGGGGAUGACGUCAAAUCAGCACGGCCCUUACGUCCGGGGCGACACACGUGUUACAAUGGCAGGUACAGCGGGAAGCCACCUGGCGACAGGGAGCGGAACCCGAAAGCCUGUCUCAGUUCGGAUUGGAGUCUGCAACCCGACUCCAUGAAGCUGGAUUCGCUAGUAAUCGCGCAUCAGCCACGGCGCGGUGAAUACGUUCCCGGGCCUUGUACACACCGCCCGUC
rnacentral:rRNA from 1 species